AUUGAACGCUGGCGGCAGGCUUAACACAUGCAAGUCGAGCGGGGAAGGGUAGCUUGCUACCUAACCUAGCGGCGGACGGGUGAGUAAUGCUUAGGAAUCUGCCUAUUAGUGGGGGACAACAUUCCGAAAGGAAUGCUAAUACCGCAUACGCCCUACGGGGGAAAGCAGGGGAUCUUCGGACCUUGCGCUAAUAGAUGAGCCUAAGUCAGAUUAGCUAGUUGGUGGGGUAAAGGCCUACCAAGGCGACGAUCUGUAGCGGGUCUGAGAGGAUGAUCCGCCUCAUUGGGCCUGAGACACGGCCCAGACUCCUACGGGAGGCAGCAGUGGGGAAUAUUGGACAAUGGGCGCAAGCCUGAUCCAGCCAUGCGGCGUGUGUGAAGAAGGCCUUUUGGUUGUAAAGCACUUUAAGCGAGGAGGAGGCUACUUGGAUUAAUACUCUAGGAUAGUGGACGUUACUCGCAGAAUAAGCACCGGCUAACUCUGUGCCAGCAGCCGCCGCCGUAA
rnacentral:rRNA from 1 species